rnacentral:rRNA from 1 species
AUACGGAGGGUGCGAGCGUUGUUCGGAAUCACUGGGCGUAAAGGACGCGCAGGCGGUUUGUCAAGUCAGAUGUGAAAGGCCACGGCUCAACCGUGGAGGUGCAUCUGAAACUGGCAGACUUGAGUACCGGAGGGGAAAGUGGAAUUCCCGGUGUAGAGGUGAAAUUCGUAGAUAUCGGGAGGAACACCGGAGGCGAAGGCGACUUUCUGGACGGAUACUGACGCUGAGGCGCGAAAGCGUGGGGAGCAAACAGGAUUAGAAACCCUAGUAGUCC